rnacentral:rRNA from 1 species
UACGUAGGUGGCAAGCGUUGUCCGGAAUUAUUGGGCGUAAAGCGCGUGCAGGCGGUUAUUUAAGUCUGAUGUGAAAUCUUAAGGCUUAACCUUAAGCGUGCAUUUGAAACUGGAGAGCUAGAGUACAGAAGAGGAGAGUGGAAUUCCUGGUGUAGCGGUGAAAUGCGUAGAGAUGUGGAGGAACACCAGUGGCGAAGGCGACUCUCUGGUCUGUAACUGACGCUGAGGUGCGAAAGCGUGGGUAGCAAACAGG